rnacentral:rRNA from 1 species
GCACUUGGAUGAUGUAUGGCAAUAGCUGGUUGCAUUAACAAAAAGUUAGUGUAAGAUCGACUCUGUCGAAUAAAAUUCUAGAUAGAAUUAUGAUAAUGACAUUAUCUAUCUAUGUGUCUUGACCAAAUUACGUGCCAGCAGUCGCGGUAAUACGUAAAAGACUAGUGUUAUUCAUCUUUAAUAGGUUUAAAGUGUACUUAGACGGUAGAUAAAGCCCGAACAGGGAACUAAUAUACUAGAGUUUGAUGUAAGGAAGCAUUAAAGUACUGUUGGUGUAGAGAUAAAAUUCUAUUAUACCAAAUAUGGCACAGGUUUAGGCGAAAGCAUCUUCUUAUGUAAUAACUGACGUUGAAGGACGAAGGCUUUGUGUCUCGAACAGGAUUAGAUACCCCAGUAGUCUAAGCAGACAAUGAUGAAUGUCAUAGAUUCGAUUUAAUUAAAUUUUUUCUAUAAAUGAAAGUGUAAGCAUUCCACCUCAAGAGUAAUUUGGCAACAUUGGAACUGAAAUCAUUAGACCGUUUCUGAAACCAGUAGUGAAGUAUGUUGUUUAAUUAGAAGAUACGCAAAAAACCUUACCACAAUUUGAAUUAGUAAUAUGUUUUCACAAGCGUUGCACGGCUGUCUACAGUUAAUGUCGUGAGAUUUUGGUUAGUUCCAUUAAAUUAACGCAAACCCUUACAUUAUUUUUAAUAUAAAGUAGUUCACCGCCAGAUUGGAUAUGAUAAAAGGGAACAAGACAAGUCAUCAUGGCCUUAAUAUUGUGG